UUACCUAUUUUCAGUACUCAGUUCUUGAUCACAAAGGUGGUUUUCCCAGGGCGAGUCUUAUCCAUUGCACUCCGGAUGUGCUGACCCCUGCGAUUUCCCCAAAUGUGGGAAACGCGACGGAAUAAUUUGUGGUAGUGGAAGACUACAUUUGCGCUUUCCCU